UACGAAGGGGGCGAGCGUUGUUCGGAAUUACUGGGCGUAAAGGGCGCGUAGGCGGCCCCUUUUGUCGCGUGUGAAAGCCCCGGGCUCAACCUGGGAGGUGCGCGCGAAACGGGGGGGCUUGAGUUCGGGAGAGGAGCGUGGAAUUCCCAGUGUAGCGGUGAAAUGCGUAGAUAUCGGGAGGAACACCUGUGGCGAAAGCGGCGCACUGGACCACAUCUGACGCUGAGGCGCGAAAGCUAGGGGAGCAAACAGG
rnacentral:rRNA from 1 species